UUCAGAUUCUACGGAGUGAGUCGGAAUUGUAGAAUCGUGUUGGAAUCGCGCGCUAAGUCGUGGAAUCGCAGAAUCGGUCCGAUUCUGCGAUUCCACGUUCAGGCCCAAUUCGGCCCAAGCCCGGGCUAGAAAGCGGGCCGAAGCCCAGACCCGGAAGCCUAGACCCGAAAUCCUCUCCCUCCCGCCCGCCCGCCCUUUCUUCCUUCUUCCCCGUCGGAUGAACCCUAAUUUCUCCCUCGUUCCAGUUCGAUUGCUUCUACGAAAUCUUCGAUGAAAUCUUCCAUUGCUUCUACAAGAUUCGACUGACGGUCCACCACUUGCUUCUUCCGACAGAUAUAUGCAUAGAGACGCUCUACCCGGGCCUCAGCCACGGCGAGAACCAGCUCCGGUGGGGCUUCAUCCGCAAGGUCUAUGGGAUCCUGGCUGCUCAGAUCCUGUUGACCACCGUCGUCUCCGCCGUAACCGUUCUCUACGCCCCUGUCAACGAGCUCCUCAGGGGAAGCCCCGGCCUCCUGCUCUUCCUCGUGUUCCUUCCUUUCAUCUGUACCUUGUAUGAUGAUGAUGUAGGUGAUGAUGAAAAUUUGAAUGAGAUUUGAUAUGGUUGUUUAUUUUAUGUUAUGAGCUAUGACAUAUGUUAUUAACUUUUUAUUUCGGGAAUUUGAGUUAUGAUUUAAAUUUUUGACCUUAAAUUUCCGUAAUUUGUAAUGAUAUUUUGUAUUUUUA